GCUACUGUGAUGUCAUCCUUCUUUUCUGUGUACUUCGUCAUAUGCUUCACAUGCUUUAUGAAGAUGCGUAGAGCGACUGCCUUCGGGACGUAAAGUCAAGUGUAAGACACGCUGUAAAACUAUAACUGCAGAAUUCUGAGGCGUGAUUCAGUUAAAACAACAUACAGUAUAUACACAGACUGACACUGCAAAGUGACCUGAAAGAUUUUUUAUUGGAAUGGAUUGGAACGAAUGAUGGACAUACUCCUCGCUUAUCAACUGCUAUUGACAUUUUUGAAUCGGGACAAAUGUGGAGUGGAGUGAUUCGGAAGAAAAACGUUUGCAACACAUCCAUUCCAGAGUGCUCUGACAGAUAAAACUGACACACUUGAUGAGGACACAGUCAAAGCUUUAAAAGCACGUGUGAUAAAGCAGUCUUCAAUUACUACGGUGUCUGAAUUGCAAGAAGAAGUGACCCUCCACUUAAACAUGUGAUAUCUAUACUGUUUUGUGUUUUAGUUCAGCUUUUUAUAGGUUUAUCUUAAGUUGGUUAAAGGCGGAGUGCACUAUUUUUGAAAGCCAAUGUUAACAUUUGAAAUUACCUAAACAAACAUGCCUCUACCCCAAUAGAAUCUGGACCUUCUUUUGAUAGAGUCACCACACACAUACGCAACCCCGCCAAGGAUGUCGGUUAGUAGACACGCCCCUUACUGCUGGUUGGCUACAAGUGUGUUUUGGUAGUCGGCCCAAUUUCCUUUUCCAAAGCGUUUUUCAAACAUUGUGCACUCCGUCUUUAAAUUGCACUUAAACAUUUUUAA